rnacentral:lncRNA from 1 species
GGAAAAGAAGUCAGUCUUGGGAAGUACCAUUAACAAAUUUAGUAACAGGCUGGGCUUCAGCCUCCUCUUCCCUUGCCACACUCCACGUAACACAGAAUGCACAAGACACCAAGCCACAUGUGUGAUUUCUCUGGACUCGCACGUGUAGGGCAAGCUGAUGUUCAUUUGUGAAUUGGAUUUCUCAUUUGCGGACUCUUAUCUAUGAUGCAACUAGUUUCCCAGACAUUAUGCUUUGUCUUGGACAGAUGUUGGUGAGUGCCAUGCAAGUGCCCUGGGUCAAAAACGGUUUCUCUUCUCCUCUGCGCCUUGGGUGGAUGCAGGGGGCUACUCAUUUCUCCUGAGCCUUUUCCUUUGACUAUAGAUGACUUACCUGUAUAUUCAGACUCUGAAUUCAAUAAGGUUCCCUUGCCUCGAAUUUGCCAUUUACUUUGGACAUGGAUGGAAGCUUGCAAGCGCAGAGCACCAUACAAUGAAUAUUUUAGAGCACAUUAAUGGUACUGUUAGUAUAGACAGAGGGCCUGCCACAUACACGUUAGGGUUCUCAACAGGCUGUCUGACUUAAUCACAGUGUAUUUAUUUAGGGAUUUGGUUAUAAAACACUUCUAUAGCAACACUGUAGAAUGGACCACUGUAAGGAAAAACACAAAAGCUGGGGCCAGCAGUUUAUCACCUGGAAAUAGCAUGGCUUUGAUAAUUUGACUCAUUAUGAACUCACAGAAAUAGAUCUAUUCUCAGAAAUACAUUUUUAGGGGCGGUGGGUGAGGGACAACAGAGAAAGAGUACAUCCAGGGAGGACGCUGAUCUCUCUGCU